GAAAGGGCAAAUUCGACUUUGUACAACACACAAGUAUAAAUAGGAAUUUAAGAACCCAAAACCCUAAAUUCUCUCCUUCCUCUCCCUCUCGGCCGCGUCUUUUCUCUCUCUCUCUCUCCCUCGACCUCUCGCUCACUCUCUUCUUCUUCCCUCUGCCACCACCGGAGACCCUAGCUCCGGUCACCACCUCAUGUCACCGCCACCACCAAUCGAACCUACAUCCAAAUCGGACCCAAGCCCGAGCCUCAGCACCGACAUGCAUCGCCGGCGGCCUCCACACUCGCCAACCCAUGACCACGACGCCACUGUUCCUUGAGCCUCGUCGGUUUCCGACCAUAAUCUCGCCACACCGCCGCUAUUGCUUGGCUUAACAGACAUGGAGGAGGAAAACCCAGAAGUCUAGCCAUCCACCGAAGUCGGACAAGGCUGAAUGAGCGCCGCCGGAAUCUCUCCUUCUGUCGAGAUCGAUUCACCGUUCUCCGGCCUCGCCCGAGCGACACCACCUCCAGAAAUAGGAUCAACGUCGCGUCAAUCGCCAAAGCCCUAGACCCCCGACCUCUAGCUCCGACCUGAGCCGACAUAGCGCCGCUGUGCUCCACGGCCGAACUUCCAGACCUUCUCUACUAGGUAAAUUCGUCACCUUUCUUUGCAUAAAGCCUUUUGGCUGUUACGAAUCAAAGCCCUAACCUGAUUGUUUAAUCUGAGAUGUGAGGUUUUGAGGAGUCUGCGAAUUUGGGAUUUUUGGAGAGGAGAAGCUCCUGUGGUAGUUUUAAUUGAUAUCGACAGAAGGGGAUCCGAAUGGGUUGAUGGUGGUGAAGUGCAGCUAUGUUAAAUCGAGUCUCUGUGGAAAAGAAGUUAUGGACCCGAGCAUGUGCACUAGCAUGUGCACUUGGAUUUGGAUAAAGGAUCGAAAGUCGGGAACGAACCCGAAUGUGGGCAAGCACUCCAAUUCCAGUGUGCAGGUUUCGAGCAUAUGGUCGGGAAGCGUACAGGGGAGGCACAUGACCCGGCUUGGCGCAUUUCUCUUUAGCUUUAUCAAGAGAUGGUUUUGGUCCCUUAUCGGAAUUUGAAGUAACUUACCUAUUUCCUUCUUAUUUAAUUGUCUGUUUUCUACUC